UCCAGCAUCUCUCCGUCUCUCCGGAUGAUGAUGUCCUGCAGAACCUCCUGAUUCCCGCCCGGUUGCGUGGCACCAUCAGCACCAGGGCUCAACAGGAAGUGACAGCAUUAAUGGUGAGGAGGAGAAGAUAAAUGGAGAUAAAGAACUACUGAGUGAGGAUGAUGCAGAGCGGGGGGCGGUGAGGACAUGAGCACAUCCGACAGAUGGAAUCCUCUUUCAACGCCGUAGAGCUCCGGGAGCUGCGAGGAGGAGGAGGAGGAGGAGUGUCCCCGACCUCGACGCCCUGGAAGGCUACAGCGGGCUGCGCCGCCCGGGGGUUCGAGAACGCCUCAUACGAGCAGGACGAGGAGCACGAGCUCCGCCAGCAGGGGGCGACAGAGCCGACCGGUGAUCAGACCACAACCUCCGGAAACAGCAAGGUACCGCCUACCGCCUUCUGUUAGGAGUGUUUACACACAACAACGUGUAAAUACAGCAAUGUACCGCCUUCUGUUAGGAGUGUUUACACACAACAACGUGUAAAUACAGCAAGGUACCGCCUUCUGUUAGGAGUGUUUACACACAACAACGUGUAAAUACAGCAAGGUACCGCCUUCUGUUAGGAGUGUUUACA